rnacentral:rRNA from 1 species
GCAGCCGCCACGGGAAUACGGAGGGAGCUAGCGUUAUUCGGAAUUACUGGGCGUAAAGCGCACGUAGGCGGCUUUGUAAGUUAGAGGUGAAAGCCUGGAGCUCAACUCCAGAAUUGCCUUUAAGACUGCAUCGCUUGAAUCCAGGAGAGGUGAGUGGAAUUCCGAGUGUAGAGGUGAAAUUCGUAGAUAUUCGGAAGAACACCAGUGGCGAAGGCGGCGACCUGGUCUUUUACUGACGCUGAGGUGCGAAAGCUAGGGUAGCGAACGGGAUUAGAUACCCCAGUAGUCCCUGUCUCUUAUAC